rnacentral:rRNA from 1 species
UACGAAGGUGGCAAGCGUUGUUCGGAUUUACUGGGCGUACAGGGAGCGUAGGCGGUUGGAUAAGCCCUCCGUGAAAUCCCCCAGGCUCAACCUGGGGAACUGCAUCCGAUACUGGAUGGCUUGAAUUCGGGAGAGGGAUGCAGAAUUCCAGGUGUAGCGGUGAAAUGCGUAGAUAUCUGGAGGAACACCGGUGGCGAAGGCGCGAUCCUGGACCGGCAUUGACGCUGAGGAGCGAAAGCCAGGGGAGCAAACGGG